UACAGAGGUCUCGAGCGUUGUUCGGAUUCAUUGGGCGUAAAGGGCGCGUAGGCGGCGGGGUAAGUCUGGUGUGAAAUCUCGGAGCUCAACUCCGAAAUUGCACUGGAUACUGCUCUGCUAGAGGGCUGGAGAGGAGAUCGGAAUUCACGGUGUAGCAGUGAAAUGCGUAGAUAUCGUGAGGAAGACCAGUGGCGAAGGCGGCGAUCUGGGAAGAUAUUGACGCUGAGGUGCGAAGCGUGGGGAGCAAACAGG
rnacentral:rRNA from 1 species